rnacentral:rRNA from 1 species
UGGGGAAUAUUGGACAAUGGGCGAAAGCCUGAUCCAGCCAUGCCGCGUGUGUGAAGAAGGUCUUCGGAUUGUAAAGCACUUUAAGUUGGGAGGAAGGGCAGUAAGCGAAUACCUUGCUGUUUUGACGUUACCGACAGAAUAAGCACCGGCUAACUCUGUGCCAGCAGCCGCGGUAAUACAGAGGGUGCAAGCGUUAAUCGGAAUUACUGGGCGUAAAGCGCGCGUAGGUGGUUCGUUAAGUUGAAUGUGAAAGCCCCGGGCUCAACCUGGGAACUGCAGCCAAAACUGGCGAGCUAGAGUAGGGCAGAGGGUGGUGUAAUUUCCUGUGUAGCGGUGAAAUGCGUAGAUAUAGGAAGGAACACCAGUGGCGAAGGCGACCACCUGGGCUCAUACUGACACUGAGGUGCGAAAGCGUAGGGAGCAAACAGG